rnacentral:rRNA from 1 species
UACGUAGGGUGCAAGCGUUAAUCGGAAUUACUGGGCGUAAAGCGUGCGCAGGCGGCUAUGCAAGACAGAUGUGAAAUCCCCGGGCUCAACCUGGGAACUGCAUUGUGACUGCAUGGCUAGAGUACGGCAGAGGGGGAUGGAAUUCCGCGUGUAGCAGUGAAAUGCGUAGAUAUGCGGAGGAACACCGAUGGCGAAGGCAAUCCCCUGGGCCUGUACUGACGCUCAUGCACGAAAGCGUAGGGAGCAAACAGG